CAGACACUUAACCACCGAGCGCCUCCAAGCACCAAAGAUUUUCAAAUUUCCAUUCAUGUGGCAAGGACUUCCCUCUCUGCGAUUUCGGCCAGUUCUUACGCUUCUAACCAGCUCGGGAUGCCGAAGACGCGGCUUUCAGAGGCUAUGAAAUCGGUGUUUAAGGAUGGAUACGGUGAGCCUGUGGAUGUUUUUGAGGUUAACAGUCUGUCUUACAUGGUAACAUGUAUAUCAUUGCUGUACUUUUUUACAUUUACUGUCAGCGGGACAUUUGCUUCACAUCAUUGUGAAAGUUUGAUAGGUCCUAGUCAAAGCCAACCUGCAAAAUAAUUAAGGAGUCUACUUCGGGCGAGAAUCAGCCACUGUUUAAAGAAAAAAUUCUGAUCUGCCUUUUAUUCCCAAAUUCCAGUCUUUAAAUAUACAAAAUUACAGCAACAAUCUUCCUACUUUUAAGGAACAGAUAGGGAUGAAAAUUAAAAGAAGACGACAAAUAAAAAAUGCAGAUUCCACGGGAGUUGGAAGUUGAAGACCGAAUCUUCUGUUCACAUGCAUUUUGACUCGUUCUCAGAACAUGUGGGAUUUAACCCCAGAUACUGAUUUGCUUAUGGAGCAAGAAGAAGAGUGCACUUUCGAAACUGCAUUCGCAGAUUUGGUGAUAUCAAACCACCGCAGAAUUGGAAUUUCGACUAUAUUCUAAGUUUUUGCCGGUAACUUCCUAUCAAGGUACCAAUAUAAGUGUUACCACAGCGAUGCCAAGCAAAGCAAGAAAUUUUGAUUUUUAAAUCUUUGGAGAUUUAAAAAUUGAAAAAAAUAGCCACUUAGUGAUCUUUUUUUUUUUUUAUCAGAAAUUUAGAAAUAAAAUACUUAGGAA